rnacentral:rRNA from 1 species
GACGUAGGGCGCGAGCGUUGUCCGGAUUUAUUGGGCGUAAAGAGCUCGUAGGCGGCUUGUCGCGUCGACUGUGAAAGCCCGGGCUCAACCCGGAGAGUCGGCUGAUACUGGUGGACUAGAGUACGGAAGAGGUAGCUGGAAUUCCCGGUGUAGCGGUGAAAUGCGUAGAUAUCAGGAGGAACACCGGCGGUGUAGACGGCUUACUGGACCAUAACUGACGCUGAGGCACGGAAAGUGUGGGAGGCAAACAG